rnacentral:tRNA from 1 species
UGGGGGUUAGUGGCGUUUGGAAUAAUACUUCGUCUUCAUCGGUUAUUGUUGUGUAGUGUUGUUUUNGUCG